CCAUGACACCCUACCCCAGAGGACCCAGCAUUUUCUCGGGGCCAGAGGCAGCUGGCCAGUGUGGCUCUCAAGGCACGUAGCUGUUUGCCUCUGCAGAGCGUAUGGGCGGAAACGAGAUGGUGUGUGUCUUGUCCCUCAGCGUCUUUGCGGAUUUCGUUCAUUUUACAGACCAGCCCCCUUGGAGGCUCUCAUCUGUCUGUCAGAGAUGUUGCUUCUCAGCUAUAGAAGGCAAGUUCUUGAGGAGAAGGGGUAAACCAUGGCCUUUUGGGGGUUCCUGGAGAAGCUUCCAGCAAGUGGAGCAAGUGCCUAUUGACAUUUCCUCUCUCAACGUAAGUUUUCUUCCUUUCAUACAUACAGACAAGCCAAACCAUUUGAGAACAAGUUCUUGGGUUUGUGACAGCCACCCCUCACUUCCUCCUCUACUUGAGUUUCUUCGGAAAAGGAAGAUGAUAAAAUUUCGCUAACCUGAGCUGUAGCUGCAAGUUAUAACCUACCUAAUUCCUUAAUUAAGCUAUCAAUUAAAUCUGUGUCUAUGCCACCUGCUAUGCCUGGGCCUCGUGCCAUGUGGUAAAUGCCAACUCCGACAGACCCAUCCCUACAGAACCCAGAGCUCCUGACACGUUUGUUCCCAGUAAAUCUUUAGUUGUUGCUCUCCUGCUUUCCCCCAUUGCUUUUUCCUGAGGUCGUUUUGGAAGCGCACACUGAGAUAGGUUGCCGAACCCAUUUGUCAGGCUUAUGGGAUUGCAGAAUGUUGGACUUGGCCAGCAGAUUUCAGCCGGGCCUUUUGAGGGCUAUAGAUUCCUCAACCUUUCUGUUGACCCCUUGGCAGGGAGAGUCACCUUUCUCGCCAUAGAAGCCUUGAACUUCACCCCAGGGAUGGGAUGGAGGAUACAGCUCAGGAAGAAAAAAAAGGGAGUCAAAGACACAGAGAAAAUGAGUGUCCUCCAAAGCGGCGUGGUUGGUAUCGGCUCAUCACCCUGCUAAUGAAGAUAAGAGUCUUCUCUCCUUGCUUGUACUCAACAGUGAGAGAUUAUCAGCUUUGUUCUGCUUCUGGAGCCUCCAUAAACACCAGAGUACAUUUUUUCUGCCAUUUACCCUGCACAGAACAUGGAGCUUCUUGGCCCCAACCAUGCAUGUGGAGGACAACAGACUCAACAAGACACCUGGUGAGUAUUUGCUUUACAUUUAGUCAUCAAAACUGCACGUGCUGGUUCUGUCGUGGGAUUGUCGAAUCCCACGGCCAAGAAAGAACUCGAGAC
rnacentral:lncRNA from 1 species